UUAAAAUGAAGUCUUGGCCUAAAAGCUAACUUCUUCUUAAAACCUGGAGCCAUGCCUACAAUCAAGGCAUCAAAUUCAGCCUCUUCAAGUUCCACGUCGACGGCCGCCUGUGCCACACUGUCAAGGUCUUUGGUGACUUCCAAUUCCUUGUCAGUCAGAAUCAACUAGAACUAACAUUACUACUAGGCCUCUUACUAGGCCUACCCAAGCGUUUCAAGAACUGCCAAAGGGCCCGCAUUCCAACCAACACCAAUCUGGAGGGGCUUUCAAGAAAGGAGAAACUGCUAGGAUACUUCAGAAAGCAGAAGACUUUUCCACAGGCAAAGAGGAGCCAGCAUGUGCCACAACCUCGGUCACUGAUGAUGAAAAUAUUGAGCAUCAGAGCAUUGCCACAUAAACAGAAUGCACACGGCGACAACUCAUCAUACAGCUAGAUGUCCGGAAAGUCAACAUCUAUGCCUCAAAACCCCCAAAGCAGUGCUUUGUCCACUCCAAACGCACUCAGACAGAUCCUAAGAAGUUCACAGUUAGGAAUAAAUAUUGCCAAGCACAUGACUUAUCCUGUUGCCCAAAGGAUAUACAUGUACAUGUAUAGUGUGAGCUGGUCAAGGCCCCAAAGCUGAAGCUCCUCAGUGCUAUGCCACAGCCUCAGCAACCUGUGGUGGUUGUUGACAAGGCAUAUCAGCGAUGAUGACAAGAUUGAUUCUGACUCAGAUGGCAGGCCAAGCGCAAGCGACAGCUACCAGCCGUCUAGUGGGCGGAGCUCAGACUCCAACUUUGAAAUUAGCACAUAUGAAGAUGAUGACACUUUGGAGGCCAAGAAGUAUUUGGUGUUCCGCAAAAACCUCUUGUAGCUAUUUAAAAACGUGUCCAAAGUACGUUGGGCCAUCCAGUAAUAGGGUUAUUCGACUGCAUAGUGGCAUGAUGAUUCCUGUCUUCCGGACUGACAAGAUCCAACCAUGUGGCUUCUCCCGAAAAUGGCUCAGCCAACCAAGGGCUGGCAAUGUUCCUGCUAUGAACAUCAUUAUAUCUGCUGAUGCUGAUGUCUAGGGCAUGUAUCCAUAAGUUUAUCAAUGCACUGACAUCAAUCAGUGAUUUCUUGUUCCACUUUCUUCAAUCAUCAGCGCAGAUACUUGCAGCUGGCAGUUGUCCAUGUCUGGGAAAGUGACCAAGAGGCAUUAACGUCCAUCCAAGCUACAAGAGGAUGCAUUUCUUGGAAUGGACAUGUGGGACAAUUCAAUGGGCCUCUCAGUCAAGUAUGGCUGUUACAGCGUAAAUGACCUUAACUACGGCAAGGUUCUGCUCAUUGAACUUGUUCAGAAAAAUGAAACACAGCUCAAGUCGAGCCUUAUGGAGAAGGAGGGACUGAUACAAGCAAUGAAGUGGCUGGAGGACAAUAAUAUACAAACUUAUGAUGGAUAUCGACAAGUAACAAAGUACAUCAAGGAGAACUUUCCUGAUAUCAAGGCACUGCUAUGACAUCUGCCAUGUAGCCAUUUGUUAACGUUCGUUCUUGAUUUUAUAAAUUUUAUUUCAACUUGCGAAUGUUUGUGACAAUUUUCCCACUAACAAAUACAUGUACAGCAAUUUGAAAUUCACUUUUUCUGUCCAUGACACUCCUGUUUGUAAGUCACCCCCCCAUCUUCCCGGAAUAUCAAAAAUCUGGAAUUACACAACAGAAAUGGUGCAUUUCUCGCACCUGCCACAAGUUUAGAGAUUAUGAAAUGGAAAUUUUAGCACAUCUUUUAAUGCAGGAUAAAUUUUGGAGAAAUAAUUUAAAUCUGAAAUGUUUCCUGCAUGCUAAUUUCUUACAUGUUUAGCAUGUGCUUGAUAUCUUAGGUCUGAAGAAGAAGCUAACCACAGCAACAAAAUUCUCCGGUUGUACCCCUAUCAAAGACUCGAUCCUUGGGAUAACACCUGAUAGGGAUGGGGACUUAAUGCUGGCCAAGUUCGAAACCAUAGCAAACUAUGGCAUCCAUGUUUGCAACAGCCCACAGUUUCCAAAAUGUGUCCAUGGAACUCUGGAAGCGAGAGAAUGGCUACUUGGUGGAACAGUGGUUGUUUUUUAUGCAAUAUGAUUUUAUGACCAAAAGAUUAUACAUGUACUUGUUUUGUGCAUUAACUAUCUUAUUGUAUGUGUAUUUUUAUUAGUUAUUUCAUUUCAUUUGGCAUUAAGUCAAGGAUAACUAGACAUUGCAGACUACACACAUGUAUUCAUGAUGCACGAAAGAAAUGGGACUCAGUUGUAUUUCCCCAAGAAUCCCCAACACCAGCAUACUAUCUCUCUAUGGAAUAUGUGGCGAUAUUUCUUGAAAAGACAAAAUAGAAUUGAUCAUAAUAAAUGUAGCAUAAGGAUGGUGCGUCAUCCACAGUUAUAAGCUCCACUGUUAUGGACUAAUUCUACAAUGUACAGUUUAUGUACAACAUAUAGGUACCAGGUACAUAAAAGAAAUGUACCACACGUACAACGUACAUGUACAUGAAAAUAAUGUGUACUGUGCGGUACAUGUGAGAAUUCAUACAUUUUACUCUCAGACUAGCUGAACUGUUGCAAGGGACAAGGGUUAUAGGUCCCCUUUGUUACGUGUACAUGUAUUAGAGGGAAAAGCAGAGAUGCCAACCAGUACAAUUUUAUCACAUUAAGUACGAUGAAAAAAGUAAAAUACGAUCAGUCAGUAUGCAGCACACACAAAAGCGGUGCCGUUUGUUUGGAACAUAUGCAUGGUUUUCCGUGCGUGACCUCUCUUUGCAUAUUUAAUGAGCAUGAAGAGCGUAAGGAAUUCGAUGGAUUUCUCAUCUUUUACUCAUGGUACUUUUUAAAAAAUAGUUUUUUUGUCCUAGCUGAAGACUAUAUCUGUCAUAUAAUGUGAAAUUCAAAUGCAUUUAUUGUUUAAAUAAGGUUGAAACGGCACAAUGUUUUGGGGAUAAAAAAUCGACAAAUUCAUGCCAGAAAAUGCAGAAAACUCUCUUUUUUUCAGUGUGACCACAACUUUCUUUUACACUUCAUGAAGAGAUUUAUGUCUUGAACUACACCAAAAUUAACCUAUUUACCCUCAGAUUUCUCUAGCUGGGUCAGGGCACACUUUUUCUAUGCAAGGCUCUGCAACGGGUCCACGUAAAAUCACAUUCAUGCCGCCGCCAUGACAGUCACAGAUUUCUGGGCUGCUGAUUGGUUGAUAGCGUUAGUCACAGAACCCGGAUGUACUUGUAAACAAACGAAAUGGCAAUCAAAGUACAUGUACAUCUAUGUUGUUUCUCGUUCACAAUUGAAUGCAUGUGGUAUAUAUUAAUGUUUCUAACAAGAUUUGUGUUCCUCUUUCGCUAUUAUUUUAUUCUUUUUCGCUUAAUUUGCCAAACUAACUAAAUCAAUAAAUGCUGUAUUGAUCAUUGUUUCCCUUUCAGAAUUGAAUUUUUUUUGUGUUGCUUUGCACUAUUUUUUGUGAUUUCAAUCUUUCUCUUCAUUCUACACAAGUUUGGUGACAACAUUGAACAAAAAUAAAUGAGUUUUAAGGGAGUAGACAGGGGAAA